UGCCUGUUUGAGUUGGCAGAGAGGGCCUUGGC
rnacentral:piRNA from 1 species